GUCUGAGAACCCCGUGAACUGAGGGGUCUUUGGGGAGAGAAUUCUGAGGACCAUCCGCCCAUCCCUCGGGAGAGAAGGUGAAAAUGAACGGGACCCUGCCCCGGUCUUCUAUGGAGAAGAUAGGAAGCCCCUAGGGAAAGCCGCCAUUCCUGUGGAACUGAGGGAACCCAGGACAAAUGGUCUCGAGGAUUGCUUGAGAACGGGAAUGCAGUGCACAAAAGAAUUCAGAGAAAUUUGUGUAGAGAAAAGCUGAACAAGACAAUAUGAAUUACACUGACAGACAAAUAACUGCACGGCAAUUUACUGAUUAGAUUUUUUUAAGAAUGAGUUCACCCUGAGGC